UGGGGAAUUUUGGACAAUGGGCGAAAGCCUGAUCCAGCAAUGCCGCGUGUGUGAAGAAGGCCUUCGGGUUGUAAAGCACUUUUGUCCGGAAAGAAAUCCUUGGCUCUAAUACAGUCGGGGGAUGACGGUACCGGAAGAAUAAGCACCGGCUAACUACGUGCCAGCAGCCGCGGUAAUACGUAGGGUGCAAGCGUUAAUCGGAAUUACUGGGCGUAAGCGUGCGCAGGCGGUUUGCUAAGACCGAUGUGAAAUCCCCGGGCUCAACCUGGGAACUGCAUUGGUGACUGGCAGGCUAGAGUAUGGCAGAGGGGGGUAGAAUUCCACGUGUAGCAGUGAAAUGCGUAGAGAUGUGGAGGAAUACCGAUGGCGAAGGCAGCCCCCUGGGCCAAUACUGACGCUCAUGCACGAAAGCGUGGGGAGCAAACAGGAUUAGAUACCCUGGUAGUCCACGCCCUAAACGAUGUCAACUAGUUGUUGGGGAUUCAUUCCUUAGUAACGUAGCUAACGCGUGAAGUUGACCGCCUGGGGAGUACGGUCGCAAGAUUAAACUCAAUGAAUUGACGGGUCAUAGCUGUUCCU
rnacentral:rRNA from 1 species